rnacentral:lncRNA from 1 species
GAUUAGCAGAUUGAGUUGUUCGGGGUUCUUUGUAACAUCUAGAGACUUAUCGGUUGGGACAAAAAGGAUUUCGACGAGCAGUUGAAGGACAUCCAUAUAGAUUUACGAUAUAUUCUUGUAGCCGUUUAUAUUCUAACAGUCAAAAAUUGAUAGACUGCUUGAAUAUUAGUAAAUCUCCAUACUACCUUCUACAGCCAGACGCCCAGUGCGUUCUCGAGCAGGAAAGUACGUAAUAUGACAACGGUCCCUUGCACUGGUAUUUCAUUCUAGUAAGCUCAACAACUUACCUUGUA